GACGAACGCUGGCGGCGUGCUUAACACAUGCAAGUCGAGCGGUAAGGCCCUUUCGGGGGUACACGAGCGGCGAACGGGUGAGUAACACGUGGGUGACCUGCCCUCAGCUCUGGGAUAAGCCUGGGAAACCGGGUCUAAUACUGGAUAUGACUCCAUGACGCAUGUUGUGGGGUGGAAAGCCUUGUGCGGCUGAGGAUGGGCCCGCGGCCUAUCAGCUUGUUGGUGGGGUGANGGCCUACCAAGGCGACGACGGGUAGCCGGCCUGAGAGGGCGACCGGCCACACUGGGACUGAGACACGGCCCAGACUCCUACGGGAGGCAGCAGUGGGGAAUCUUGCGCAAAUGGGCGAAAAGCCUGACGCAGCGACGCCGCGUGAGGGAUGACGGCCU
rnacentral:rRNA from 1 species